rnacentral:rRNA from 1 species
ACUCAAAUGAAUAGACGGGGACCCGCACAAGCAGCGGAGCGUGUGGUUUAAUUCGAUGCAACGCGAAGAACCUUACCUGGGCUUGACAUUCUUUUGCAACUUUGUGAAAGCAAAGCCUCCGCAAGGACAGAAGAACAGAUGUUGCAUGGCUGUCGUCAGCUCGUGUCGUGAGAUGUUGGGUUAAGUCCCGCAACGAGCGCAACCCUUGUCCUUAGUUGCAUAUCUAAGGAGACUGCCGGUACAAAACCGGAGGAAGGUGGGGAUGAUGUCAAGUCAGCAUGACUCUUACGUCCAGGGCUACACACACGCUACAAUGGGCCGUACAAAGAGAAGCCACCCAGCGAUGGAGAGCGGAGCUCGGAAAGCGGCCCUCAGUUCAGAUUGCACUCUGCAACCCGAGUGCAUGAAGGUGGAGUUGCUAGUAACCGCGUGUCAGCAUAGCGCGGUGAAUAUGUUCCCGGGUCUUGUACACACCGCCCGU